rnacentral:misc_RNA from 1 species
AAUUCUCAAUCCCUUAGAUUUCUUGAUGAAGUCUAGUGGGGCUUGGACUUGGAGGCUUGUGUUGGCUCUUGUUAGCUGACUCCUCUCAAAUGUAUUAGCGUGAAUCUUUUACGGAUCGCCUUCAGUGUGAUAAUUAUCUGCGCUGUGGUGUUGAAGUAUCUUUUCAUAGUUCAUGCUUCCAAUCGUCUCUCUCGAGACAAUCACUUUGACA